rnacentral:lncRNA from 1 species
GGUUUGGACUUGCUGCUGCAGCUGCGGUUCUGCUGUGUCAUGCAAGAAGGAGGCGGCGGCGGCGGCCGGAGCUGGAGGGGGAGGAGGGGAGGAACCUGAUCCUCGGUAGCGAAGGGCUGGAGGCAAACACCGAGCUCCCCCUGAGCCGCCUGGGAGCAGGGAGGGUUCUGCUACCCUGAGGGGCCCUCCCCGCGGGGCAGAGGCUCAUCCUCGUCUACGGCCAAACGUUGGUUUCUCAUUUCUAGAAGAUGAAAGAUGUGAUGACUCAGGAAAAACUGGAAUCUUAGUAACUGUGGUGGGCAUUGAGCCUUGCCGUCCACAAGAGAAAGCUUGCUGCUCGAGAUGUGAGUCUUCAGAUGUUCCUGCCGCCAUAUCUGACAGCUGCUGCCAAGAUUCCCUGGUGGGAUGGACUCUUAUACCUCAACAACCAGAAGCCCAAGUAAACUCUUCUAUAAAUUGAAUGACUCAUGCUUAAAAAAAAAAACAAAAAACAAACUAUCUUUA